rnacentral:rRNA from 1 species
CUAUACAUGCAGUCGAACGCUUCUUUUUCCACCGGAGCUUGCUCCACCGGAAAAAGAGGAGUGGCGAACGGGUGAGUAACACGUGGGUAACCUGCCCAUCAGAAGGGGAUAACACUUGGAAACAGGUGCUAAUACCGUAUAACAAUCAAAACCGCAUGGUUUUGAUUUGAAAGGCGCUUUCGGGUGUCGCUGAUGGAUGGACCCGCGGUGCAUUAGCUAGUUGGUGAGGUAACGGCUCACCAAGGCCACGAUGCAUAGCCGACCUGAGAGGGUGAUCGGCCACAUUGGGACUGAGACACGGCCCAAACUCCUACGGGAGGCAGCAGUAGGGAAUCUUCGGCAAUGGACGAAAGUCUGACCGAGCAACGCCGCGUGAGUGAAGAAGGUUUUCGGAUCGUAAAACUCUGUUGUUAGAGAAGAACAAGGAUGAGAGUAACUGUUCAUCCCUUGACGGUAUCUAACCAGAAAGCCACGGCUAACUACGUGCCAGCAGCCGCGGUAAUACGUAGGUGGCAAGCGUUGUCCGGAUUUAUUGGGCGUAAAGCGAGCGCAGGCGGUUUCUUAAGUCUGAUGUGAAAGCCCCCGGCUCAACCGGGGAGGGUCAUUGGAAACUGGGAGACUUGAGUGCAGAAGAGGAGAGUGGAAUUCCAUGUGUAGCGGUGAAAUGCGUAGAUAUAUGGAGGAACACCAGUGGCGAAGGCGGCUCUCUGGUCUGUAACUGACGCUGAGGCUCGAAAGCGUGGGGAGCAAACAGGAUUAGAUACCCUGGUAGUCCACGCCGUAAACGAUGAGUGCUAAGUGUUGGAGGGUUUCCGCCCUUCAGUGCUGCAGCUAACGCAUUAAGCACUCCGCCUGGGGAGUACGACCGCAAGGUUGAAACUCAAAGGAAUUGACGGGGGCCCGCACAAGCGGUGGAGCAUGUGGUUUAAUUCGAAGCAACGCGAAGAACCUUACCAGGUCUUGACAUCCUUUGACCACUCUAGAGAUAGAGCUUCCCCUUCGGGGGCAAAGUGACAGGU